rnacentral:snRNA from 16 species
AGCUUUGCGCAGAGGCAGUUUCAUAGCCAAUGAGGUACUACCGAGGCGUGACUAUUGCUAGUUGAAAACCUUAAGAAUCUGUCUAAACCAUGAUUUAUUCCUAUUUCUCGCUAAGAGUUCUUAGAAAAAGGUGCCAGUGGGCUUUCCUA